UGGGGGAUAUUGCACAAUGGGGGAAACCCUGAUGCAGCGACGCCGCGUGGGUGAAGAAGUAUUUCGGUAUGUAAAGCCCUAUCAGCAGGGAAGAAAGAAGACGGUACCUGACUAAGAAGCCCCGGCUAACUACGUGCCAGCAGCCGCGGUAAUACGUAGGGGGCGAGCGUUAUCCGGAUUCACUGGGUGUAAAGGGAGCGUAGACGGCCGUGCAAGCCAGGAGUGAAAGCCCGGGGCCCAACCCCGGGACUGCUCUUGGAACUGUGCGGCUAGAGUGCGGGAGGGGCAGGCGGAAUUCCUGGU
rnacentral:rRNA from 1 species